rnacentral:rRNA from 1 species
UACGAAGGUGGCAAGCGUUACUCGGAAUUACUAGGCGUAAAGGGCAGGUAGGUGGUUUGAUAAGUCUGUUGUGAAAGCUUCCGGCUUAACUGGGAGAGGCCAACGGAAACUAUCAGGCUUGAGUGUGGGAGAGGGUACUGGAAUUCCCGGUGUAGCGGUGAAAUGCGCAGAGAUCGGGAGGAACACCAAUGGCGAAAGCAGGUACCUGGACCACUACUGACACUAAGCUGCGAAAGCUAGGGGAGCAAACAGG